rnacentral:rRNA from 1 species
GACGAACGCUGGCGGCGUGCUUAACACAUGCAAGUCGAACGAUGAAGAAAAGAAUUGAAGCUUCGGCAGAAAUUCAUUUCGGAUUAGUGGCAGACGGGUGAGUAACGCGUGAGCAACCUACCUCUUACAAAGGGAUAGCCUCGGGAAACCGGGAUUAAUACCAUAUAACAUUGCGACGAAGCAUUUCGAUGCAAUCAAAGCUACGGCGGUAAGAGAUGGGCUCGCGUCCCAUUAACCAGAUGGUGAGGUAACGGCUCACCAUAGUAACGAUGGGUAACCGGUCUGAGAGGGUGAACGGUCACACUGGAACUGAGACACGGUCCAGACUCCUACGGGAGGCAGCAGUGGGGAAUAUUGCACAAUGGAGGGAACUCUGAUGCAGCGACGCCGCGUGAGUGAUGAAGGAAUUCGGUUCGUAAAACUCUGUUCUAUGGGAAGAAAAGGACUGUACCAUAGGAGAAAGCUCCGGCUAAAUACGUG